GAGUCCUAUUAUUUGGCAAUUUGUGCUCGUGGUAAAUGGUUAAUUAUCAGAAUUCUUAAGAUAGCAACGUUCACUUUGUUCAGUUGACUUUGCCAGAACCGCUAACCAAAAUUUUCAUCUGUGGAGAAAGCUGAACAACUGGUAAAUCAUUGAUAUCUUUACCAAUAGCUUUAUAUAGUUAUGGUGGUUAAUUUGGUUAACCACAACCACUUAAACAUGGUGAGAUAGUUGCAAAACACUUGAGAUAACAUUUAACCUUUACCUCAAUGUGCAAUCGUACCAACGAGAACAGAUCUGAAUGGACAGCAGCAGGAACGAGAUCUAUGAUGACAUCUUGUCUUUAAACAACAAGAAAUUCAUUGACCACGCCCAUCGUAUAUACCCAACAGAAAUGAAAGUCAGUGACAUAAUGGACAACUUUCGUCGAAGCUGUACGAUAAACGUGAUGAUUUCGAUUUCCCUAUUGUGAAUUAUCCAUUUUUGGAUAGCAGCAUAACUGCUUCCUCCAAUGAUGGUGUUAACAUGAAACAGUUGAUUCGAUAUUGAAGGGCCUUUUCCUAAAAUAAUCAUUUUUGUUCAAGAUGUCGACAACUGACAAACUAACCAUAAAGAGUUUCAAUCGAUGCAGUUUGAUGAAAAUUAUUGGGAAGUUUUAUAGUCAUGAUAGUGAUUUCAUUGACAUUUUUUUUCUCUGUAUGUUAUGAAACUGGACGUGUUUGAUACCAAUUAGGUUGAUUUAUGGUUCUGUUUUCAUUUAGAAACCUGACAUUAUUUAUUUGGAUUAAUCUAGGUUUACCUGGCACGGGUGACUGAAUUUGUGUUUGGAUUACGUCUAUAUCGACAUGUUGGUAUUUUCUUUGUUUUUGUUAAAAAAAAUAACAAUAAGAAAUUAAACAACUCACCCCAGUUUAA